CAAGAUAUAACUGUAAUAUUUCACAGUUAAUUACAUUAUUACCACUUCACAGGCUUUAACUGUGAUAAUUCACAAUAUAAUACCGUAUUUAGACUUUUACUGUGAAAAUAAUGCAGGCGAGGGGCUUUUACAAGAAACUACUGUGAAUGCCGUCUUUUUUGAGUGGCAACUGCGGCAGCGUCAUCAGAGCGUCAUCAGAGCUCUCUGAUCUACGUGGUCUCAUUCGGUGGAUUCAGACAGCGCAUUUUCUACAUUGACCGACGAUAAAUAAAGUUAUAAGGUGCUUCUUGGGCAUCAACCCAGAGACGGGCACAAAAUCUAAGAGGCAGAGAGGUCACAUAAACCAGCAAGUCUGCACUCUUAUCAGGAAGCUCAUUGACUUCGAAUGGAUGUCAAUCUAAUCUAAGCUGUGUUCCAAUUUAAGAACGGACUAAUGAAACACAGUAUCUGUGUUAAAGGAACAUGCUGACUUUUUGUGACAAGUCUAUACAUACCCUUCUCAUCUCCGUGCUUGCCGUAAGUCUGUCUGAGGCACCCACCGCUAGCCUAGCUUAGCACAAAGACUGGAGGUAAACGGCU